rnacentral:rRNA from 1 species
GAUGAACGCUGGCGGCGUGCCUAAUACAUGCAAGUCGAGCGAACAGACGAGGAGCUUGCUCCUCUGACGUUAGCGGCGGACGGGUGAGUAACACGUGGAUAACCUACCUAUAAGACUGGGAUAACUUCGGGAAACCGGAGCUAAUACCGGAUAAUAUAUUAAACCGCAUGGUUCAAUAGUGAAAGACGGUUUUGCUGUCACUUAUAGAUGGAUCCGCGCCGCAUUAGCUAGUUGGUAAGGUAACGGCUUACCAAGGCAACGAUGCGUAGCCGACUUGAGGGGGGAACAGGCACACCGGGAACUAGAAACGGGCCAGACCCCCACGGGAGGGAGGAGGGGGGAAAUUUGCCCAAAGGGGGAAAGCCCGAACCAGCAAUCGCCCGGGGGGGAAGAAAGGUUUUGGGUUGUAAAACCUUUUUUUUUGGGAAAAAACAAUUGUGUAAAAAACUGUCGGGGUCUGGCGGGAACCAAAUAAGAAGGCCCGGGUUAACACGGG